ACGGUAGCAGGUCUUCGGAUGCUGACGAGUGGCGGACGGGUGAGUAACGCGUAGGAAUCUGCCUAUUAGUGGGGGACAACGUGUGGAAACGCACGCUAAUACCGCAUACGCCCUACGGGGGAAAGGAGGGGAUCUUCGGACCUUUCGCUAGUAGAUGAGCCUGCGUAGGAUUAGCUAGUUGGUAGGGUAAAGGCCUACCAAGGCGACGAUCCUUAGCUGUUCUGAGAGGAAGAUCAGCCACACUGGGACUGAGACACGGCCCAGACUCCUACGGGAGGCAGCAGUGGGGAAUAUUGGACAAUGGGCGAAAGCCUGAUCCAGCAAUACCGCGUGUGUGAAGAAGGCCUUAGGGUUGUAAAGCACUUUCAAUUGGGAGGAAAAAACAAGGGUCAAUACCCCUUGUCUUGACAUUACCUUUAGAAGAAGCACCGGCUAACUCCGUGCCAGCAGCCGCGGUAAUACGGAGGGUGCGAGCGUUAAUCGGAAUUACUGGGCGUAAAGAGUGCGUAGGCGGCUCGUUAAGUCAGAUGUGAAAGCCCUGGGCUCAACCUGGGAACUGCAUUUGAAACUGGCGAGCUAGAGUUGAGUAGAGGUAAGUGGAAUUUCAGGUGUAGCGGUGAAAUGCGUAGAUAUCUGAAGGAACACCAGUGGCGAAGGCGACUUACUGGACUCAAACUGACGCUGAGGUACGAAAGCGUGGGUAGCAAACAGGAUUAGAUACCCUGGUAGUCCACGCCGUAAACGAUGUCAACUAGCCGUUGGUCCUAUAUACAGGAUUAGUGGCGCAGCUAACGCAUUAAGUUGACCGCCUGGGGAGUACGGCCGCAAGGUUAAAACUCAAAUGAAUUGACGGGGGCC
rnacentral:rRNA from 1 species